ensembl:misc_RNA Y_RNA Y RNA
GGCUGGUCCCAGUGCCUUGGUAUUUACAACUCAUUGAUCACUACCAGUUACAGACUUUUUUUCUUCCUUCUUCACCCCCAUUGCUUGACUAGCCUUAA